AGCAAUGAAUUGGCGUAUGUAAAUUUUAUGGGCGAUUGCAUAUGAUGGAUGAAGAGUUAGGACGUAUUAGAUGAUAUAAAGCGGUCUCUCACAGGUGAGAACUCAAAGUUACCUCUCCAGUCACGCCACAGAAAUUAGAAAGAUGGGGUUUACCCAACUGAUCUUGCUGCUGGUUCUAAUUGUGAUAUGCAUCGUUAUGGUCCAGGCCGACUACCCAAGGUUUCCUUACUAUGACUAUGAUUACGGAUUUCGUCGACCGUUUAGAGCAUGGCGUCGACGUCGCAUGAUGGAUGAGUUUUACGACGAUUUCUUUGACGAUUAAAGUAACCUGAACACAGUAGACUCGUCCUGCUGUGGACGCUUGGUGUGCUACCUGCGCUUUCAUAUGCAUUUUGUAUUAUCCUUAAUCAACAUAACAGUCACAAUUGGAAAUAAAAGAUUAAUUGUUGUUCA